AGAUCCCCAACUCUCAUUCCACCUUUGUCGCCGAUCCUCUUGCUACCGCCUCUGUCGUUGUACUUUCCAGAGGGUCUAAAGCUCUUAUCUUUGAUCGAAAAUAUGUCCGAUCGAGAUGGUGUGCAGCCAUGGAAGGCGGGAUCUUCAGAAUAGAACUGGUGGUGCCCUCCGCCCUGCCGAUAAUGGCCUGCAGAAAGAAAACACCGCAAAUGAUGAGGAUAAGGAUAAAUCGACACCGAAAAUGGCUUCAGAUUUGGCCGAAAAACCUCAAAUCUGAGAGGAGUUUUUGCAACGGACAACAAUAGCGGUGGCGGCGAAGGCGACGCCAAGCACUGCCCCGCCACAAUCGUCGUCUCCGAACUCCCUUACUCAUUCAAGUCCUCAUAGUUGGAGGAGGUUUUUACUUUUUACCAAGGAGGGUCCUCUGAGGCGCUACUUCCUGGUUACUCAAAAGGGUAAGUAACUCAGAUUGUUUGUGAUUUUGUCGUCUAAUUUUUAUGCAAGGCAGAAGAUUUUCUUUUAUUUCUUUCUUUAUGUUGGAAUUUGUGUUGUCAUUUAUAUGAAAAUUUGCUUCUUUC